rnacentral:rRNA from 1 species
GAUGAACGCUGGCGGCGUGCCUAAUACAUGCAAGUAGAACGCUGAAGGAAGGAGCUUGCUCUUUCCGGAUGAGUUGCGAACGGGUGAGUAACGCGUAGGUAACCUGCCUGGUAGCGGGGGAUAACUAUUGGAAACGAUAGCUAAUACCGCAUAACAGUAGAUGUUGCAUGAUAUCUACUUAAAAGGUGCAAUUGCACCACUACCAGAUGGACCUGCGUUGUAUUAGCUAGUUGGUGAGGUAACGGCUCACCAAGGCGACGAUACAUAGCCGACCUGAGAGGGUGAUCGGCCACACUGGGACUGAGACACGGCCCAGACUCCUACGGGAGGCAGCAGUAGGGAAUCUUCGGCAAUGGACGGAAGUCUGACCGAGCAACGCCGCGUGAGUGAAGAAGGUUUUCGAAUCGUAAAGCUCUGUUGUAAGAGAAGAACGAGUGUGAGAGUGGAAAGUUCACACUGUGACGGUAUCUUACCAGAAAGAGACGGCUAACUACGUG